rnacentral:rRNA from 1 species
AUGAAGUUUUUGUAUGUCUUAGAUGGAUGGGAAGGUUCUACAUCAGAUUCACCAGUGUUGCGAGAUGCAAUCUCACGACAAGACACUUUUAGAGUUACACAUGGAAAAUACUACCUUAUAGAUGUUGGGUAUACUAAUGGUCCGAGCUUCUUUGCUCCAUACCGGUCAGUCCGGUACCAUUUGAAAGAAUGCACGGCUAAUGGAAAUAACCCACAAACUCCAAGAGAGUUAUAUAAUUUGUGACAUGCAUCAGGUAGGAAUGUGAUAGAGAGAACUUUUGGUCUACUAAAGAUGAGAUGGGCUAUUUUGAGGACUAGUUAA